rnacentral:rRNA from 1 species
AGAGUUUGAUCCUGGCUCAGGACGAACGCUGGCGGCGUGCUUAACACAUGCAAGUCGAGCGAUGAAGCUCCUUCGGGAGCUGGAUUAGCGGCGGACGGGUGAGUAACACGUGGGUAACCUGCCUCAUAGAGGGGAAUAGCCUUUCGAAAGGAAGAUUAAUACCGCAUAAGAUUGUAGUGCCGCAUGGCAUAGCAAUUAAAGGAGUAAUCCGCUAUGAGAUGGACCCGCGUCGCAUUAGCUAGUUGGUGAGGUAACGGCUCACCAAGGCGACGAUGCGUAGCCGACCUGAGAGGGUGAUCGGCCACAUUGGGACUGAGACACGGCCCAGACUCCUACGGGAGGCAGCAGUGGGGAAUAUUGCACAAUGGGGGAAACCCUGAUGCAGCAACGCCGCGUGAGUGAUGACGGUCUUCGGAUUGUAAAGCUCUGUCUUCAGGGACGAUAAUGACGGUACCUGAGGAGGAAGCCACGGCUAACUACGUGCCAGCAGCCGCGGUAAUACGUAGGUGGCAAGCGUUGUCCGGAUUUACUGGGCGUAAAGGGAGCGUAGGUGGAUAUUUAAGUGGGAUGUGAAAUACUCGGGCUUAACCUGGGUGCUGCAUUCCAAACUGGAUAUCUAGAGUGCAGGAGAGGAAAGUAGAAUUCCUAGUGUAGCGGUGAAAUGCGUAGAGAUUAGGAAGAAUACCAGUGGCGAAGGCGACUUUCUGGACUGUAACUGACACUGAGGCUCGAAAGCGUGGGGAGCAACAGGAUUAGAUACCCUGGUAGUCCACGCCGUAACGAUGAAUACUAGUGUAGGGGUUGUCAUGACCUCUGUGCCGCCGCUAACGCAUUAAGUAUUCCGCCUGGGGAGUACGGUCGCAAGAUUAAAACUCAAAGGAAUUGACGGGGGCCCGCACAAGCAGCGGAGCAUGUGGUUUAAUUCGAAGCAACGCGAAGAACCUUACCUAGACUUGACAUCUCCUGAAUUACCCUUAAUCGGGGAAGCCCUUCGGGGCAGGAAGACAGGUGGUGCAUGGUUGUCGUCAGCUCGUGUCGUGAGAUGUUGGGUUAAGUCCCGCAACGAGCGCAACCCUUAUUGUUAGUUGCUACCAUUUAGUUGAGCACUCUAGCGAGACUGCCCGGGUUAACCGGGAGGAAGGUGGGGAUGACGUCAAAUCAUCAUGCCCCUUAUGUCUAGGGCUACACACGUGCUACAAUGGCUGGUACAGAGAGAUGCUAAACCGCGAGGUGGAGCCAAACUUUAAAACCAGUCUCAGUUCGGAUUGUAGGCUGAAACUCGCCUACAUGAAGCUGGAGUUGCUAGUAAUCGCGAAUCAGAAUGUCGCGGUGAAUACGUUCCCGGGCCUUGUACACACCGCCCGUCACACCAUGAGAGUUGGCAAUACCCAAAGUUCGUGAGCUAACGCGUAAGCGGGGCAGCGACCUAAGGUAGGGUCAGCGAUUGGGGUGAAGUCGUAACAAGGUAACC